GAUCAUGGCUCAGAUUGAACGCUGGCGGAAUGCUUUACACAUGCAAGGUCGAACGGUAGAGGGGGCAACCCUUGAGAGUGGCGAACGGGUGAGUAAUAUAUCGGAACGUGCCCAGUCGUGGGGGAUAACGUAGCGAAAGUUACGCUAAUACCGCAUACGAUCUAAGGAUGAAAGCGGGGGACUCGCAAGAGCCUCGCGCGAUUGGAGCGGCCGAUAUCAGAUUAGGUAGUUGGUGGGGUAAAGGCUCACCAAGCCAACGAUCUGUAGCUGGUCUGAGAGGACGACCAGCCACACUGGAACUGAGACACGGUCCAGACUCCUACGGGAGGCAGCAGUGGGGAAUUUUGGACAAUGGACGCAAGUCUGAUCCAGCCAUUCCGCGUGCAGGAUGAAGGCCCUCGGGUUGUAAACUGCUUUUGUACGGAACGAAAAGGUUUCUAUUAAUACUAGGAGCUCAUGACGGUACCGUAAGAAUAAGCACCGGCUAACUACGUG
rnacentral:rRNA from 1 species